rnacentral:rRNA from 1 species
AGUCGGACGGGAUUGAGGAGCUUGCUUCUCAUGAGAGUGGCGCACGGGUGCGUAACACGUAUGUAACCUACCUUGUUCAGGGGGAUAGCCUCUCGAAAGAGAGAUUAACACCGCAUAAAAUCAAUUUAUGGCAUCAUAGAAUGAUCAAAUAUUUAUAGGAACAAGAUGGGCAUGCGGAACAUUAGCUAGUUGGUAAGGUAACGGCUUACCAAGGCUACGAUGUUUAGGGAAUCUGAGAGGAUGACCCCCCACACUGGUACUGAGACACGGACCAGACUCCUACGGGAGGCAGCAGUAAGGAAUAUUGGUCAAUGGACGCAAGUCUGAACCAGCCAUGCCGCGUGCAGGAAGACGGCCCUACGGGUUGUAAACUGCUUUUGUACCGGAAUAAACCUUUUCACGUGUGAGAAGCUGAAUGUACGGUAAGAAUAAGGAUCGGCUAACUCCGUGCCAGCAGCCGCGGUAAUACGGAGGAUCCAAGCGUUAUCCGGAUUUAUUGGGUUUAAAGGGUGCGUAGGUGGCCUAUUAAGUCAGGGGUGAAAGACGGUAGCUUAACUAUCGCAGUGCCUUUGAUACUGAUGGGCUUGAAUACACUUGAGGUAGGCGGAAUGUGACAAGUAGCGGUGAAAUGCAUAGAUAUGUCACAGAACACCAAUUGCGAAGGCAGCUUACUAAAGUGUUAUUGACACUGAGGCACGAAAGCGUGGGGAUCAAACAGGAUUAGAUACCCUGGUAGUCCACGCCCUAAACGAUGAAUACUCGAUGUUGGCGAUAUACGGUCAGCGUCUAAGCGAAAGCGUUAAGUAUUCCACCUGGGGAGUACGCCCGCAAGGGUGAAACUCAAAGGAAUUGA